GCGCUCGUAGCUCAGCAGGAUAGAGCGACCGCCUCCUAAGCGGUAGGUCGGGGAUUCGAAUUCCUUCGGGCGCACCA
rnacentral:tRNA from 1 species